GAAUUGCCAGCAAGGUCUAAGCCAAAAUCUUUUAAUUUUUUUUCCAUAGUUAUUGAACUUAAAUAUGGCACAAGGACACAAAUGCUAGUCAGAUGUGUUUCAGCAGAGUUUUUGAAAGCAUCUUCUGACGAAGCUUGGUUUAUCAUAAAGACAUUUGUUUAUAUAUGACAUAGUCUUGCUGUCAGUAUGCUGAGUAACUCACAAACUGAAACUAUUGUAUGUUUCAGACACACCUUUUGAUCAUGAAGCAUUUUGUAGCUUUCUUGUACACAUUCUAAGGUUGAAAGGUACCUGUAACUAACUCCCAUGGAAAAUAGCUAUUGAAAAGGUAAUCUUUAUGUCUUUCAGAGACUUUCAUAACAAAAAAAAAACCCUAAAAAUAUAGUAGUCACUUUGGAGGAAAUAAAUCUUGGAAACCAUCAGAGAGGUGAUGGCAGUGGACAGACGCAUAGACACACUGUUGGGGUGACACGGCGUUUUCUAAAAAUGAAAGACAAAUUAUAAAUAGCUUCCUAAAAUUGUAUUCACUGAACUCUAUGAUAACUCUGGAAGACGUUUCUGUUAAACAAGAACAAAUAGGUGGAUUGUUUUUUUUCUUGUUUAACUCCUCAGUUUCAAUAGUAACCCUAUUUUUAUUACAGGAGAUUCAACUCCUGUAGUUUACAACACUGAAAAUGUAAAUUUUAUUACAAAUUUUAAUCACACAGAUGUACUAUCUAAUACAUGAUAUGUGAAGAUUUUUUUUUUUUAGUAAAGUGGGCAUGACUGCCUUAAAUGGACUCCUUUAGCAGUUGUGGUGUUUGUUGAGGUGUGUAAAGUGGAAGAAUCUUGAAUAAAAGGUUACCAAAUUUAAAUACCACUACUUUGUAAGCCCUGUCUUUAACAGGACUUCUUUUGAUUUCAUGCUACUAGUUGAAGGGUGGAAAAGUGCAAGACCUUUGAGAAAAAGGUUAUUUAAGUAGCACUACUUUAUAUUGUCUUUAUGAAAAUGCACCCACCAUCUUGUUCCUACAUCCUGAGCUGGUCAGUAGAGUAGUGACUCCUAAUUUAUCUGACACUUUCUCUUUCCCUGUGUGUUUGCAUGUAAUGCAUGAGAUAAUUGUAAAUUAGAUCCCUGUAUUGACUCUAUCUUACUAAGCUGUUUUAAAUUUCACUGUAACAUUCCUAUCCUUUAUUCUGCCACCAAAUUUUUAGAAAAGAAAUGAAUAGUGUCCUCUAUAUAGUUUUAAGCAAAGGAUCAUGUAAGGAUCAAAGCAAACUUCCCUGCUGUAGACUGAAAUUAUGUCAACACUCUAAAUUCCAACUGGUUGCUUCACAAUCGAGUUGUUUCUGGUUUUUCCUGAAAGAAGAGAGAAAGCUAUCCUGAAUAUAACAAAGUUUAAGAUUAUACAUUUUCAAAGGCAGUAUGUCUGAAAAUCAAUAGAGUCUCUCUUAAAACAGAGUUCAGUAUUUAUCUAGACUAGUUCUGGUACACUGCUACUGGGUCAGACCUAGAAAAUACCUAGCUAACAAUUUCUAUGUGAGGAUGCCUUCUGCUCAUUGAAGGACCAUUCUUUGAGAUUCAGCAUUAAUGAAUUAGAACAAGGCAUGCCCUCCUUUUCUUUUCACAGUAUCAUAUCCAACAGACCUGUUUUUGCACAUCUCCGCUUUGCCCACUUAUUGACAGCUGUUUUAUUGUAGCUGGAGGCUUUACAGUAAGCUGUUUAUUGCUGUUUCCCAACUUGGUUGACAGCGUUUGGGGAAUUAAUUUUCUUGAUCCCAUGUGGUUUGUUUUCUCCAGUGGGAGGGUGGGGGAAUAAAUGAAAAUGUUAACAUAAAGAACAGUGAUCUAUUUACAUUUGACAAGUUCUUUAAGUAAUCAAACAAUCUAUAAAGGUUCCACCAGAGUUUGGUUUUGAGUAAACAGCCAUAUUUAAUUUUCUAAAUGAAAUGCUCAUUUCAGAGCUUAAACAUCCUGACAUGAACGUUUUAUGCUUUAAAGUAUUUGCUCAGAUGCACAUUUAUGUAUAGAUUGAAGAAUUUAUACAUUGGAAAUGUGUAGACAAGCUGUACUCAAGCGGAUGUGUGUGCUUUUACCGUCGCAAAGGGAAUUGCUUCAGUUCCUGAUCACUUAGAGAUGCUAUAUUACAUUUGUGAUUACUUUUCAUUUUUGAGUAAUCCACCACAAUCGGUACUGCAAUGUUAUUAUGACAUGUGGAACACAUAAGGCAGCAACACAGUGAUCUUUAGAGCUGUCAGAAAGACAAAACUGCAACUGAGAGUGAAGUGGGGGAAAGGCAGUCUAACGUGCGGCCUGCAAGAACUUAAGCAUGUUUUCAUCGACUGAAUUUUUGAUGCACAAGCAGGCAUGAUUGUGCAUGGCACAUCAUGGAAAAAUUUACCCCUACCUCAAAAUCAAGCAAUUUUGAAAGCUGUGAAUUUGAAUGUUCCUCCUCCCUUGAUAGCUUCUGUUGGUGUGAUGUGGUGUGGCCCAUAUUUAGGAUGUAAAAUAUAACCCCUUGGAGACUGAUGUAGACUUCACAGGUAAAAAUGAGUUGGUCACUCAUCUUGGCAUCCACUUCUCUUGAACUUUUAACUGGGACGUUUGAUAUUCUGGUUUCUUUCCCCACUGUAUAGUUCGAUGAGGUUCCUUAUAAAUUGUAUCAUUAAUUGCUAGUCAUAUUAAGGGUAAUAGAUUUUUGAAAAAAUGUCCACUAUAUUAAACAGCCUUUUUAGGGUGAAAUUAUGUACAUAAUAUUUAUAAACAUGCAGGUAAUUUCUAUAGUUAGAAUGUUCUUAUAACUACCCAAACUGUGCUUUCUCAUCUCUCAUGGUUCUAACCACGUAUGCCCGCAUUGGGAAAGAACAGGUGCUGGCUCUUUAAAAUGACCUUGUGAGUCUGUAGAUAAAGUGCAGUGAGGGAUCACUGGCCUAGAGUACCCAACGCUCAUAUCCUGGC
rnacentral:lncRNA from 1 species